AGAAAAAGGAAGAUCCAUUGCCAUACUUCUGAGGCUGAGUGUGUUGAGAUUGCUUGUGGCACCUGAUAUUUGAACUCACAAAGUUCCCUCAUGUGGCAGUUACAUUCUGGAGUCUCACAGCCAUCCUCAGCCAGGUGUAGUG
rnacentral:lncRNA from 1 species